GAUGAACGCUGGCGGCGUGCCUAAUACAUGCAAGUCGAGCGAACGGACGAUAAGCUUGCUUCUCUGAUGUUAGCGGCGGACGGGUGAGUAACACGUGCAUAACCUACCUAUAAUACUGGGAUAACUUCGGGAAACCGGAGCUAAUACUGGAUAAUAUUUUCAACCGCAUGGUUCAAAAGUGAAAGACGGUCUUGCUGUCACUUAUAGAUGGAUCCGCGCUGCAUUAGCUAGUUGGUAAGGUAACGGCUUACCAAGGCAACGAUGCAUAGCCGACCUGAGAGGGUGAGCGGCCACACUGGAACUGAGACACGGUCCAGACUCCUACGGGAGGCAGCAGUAGGGAAUCUUCGGCAAUGGGCGAAAGCCUGACGGAGCAACGCCGCGUGGGUGAUGAAGGGCUUCGGAUCGUAAAACUCUGUUAUUAGGGAAGAACAUAUGUGUAAGUAACUGUGCACAUCUUGACGGUACCUAAUCAAAAAGCCACGGCUAACUACGUG
rnacentral:rRNA from 1 species